ACACACGUGCUUAGAAUCCUGAGCCACCAGGUAAGAAGUCCAACUACCCUACGGCUAAGACGUGAGGAAGCCAGGCCACAUGGAGAACCCCCCAUGGGCCCUUGGGUUCUGGCCUUCAGGCUGUACCAAGCCCAGGCACCUGAUAUUCUUUUUCAAGUGACCUAAUUUUACCUAUACAAAAUAUGAAACAUACCUUUAAAUCUAGUGUGGUCAACAUCUUCAAUACUCUCCAAAUCGGUGAGAUUCAUACCAUAACUUGACGUCUAAACUUCUGUUUACUACUCCAUUUUUUUAAUGCCCUCUCUGCCUAUUCAGGGAUUUACAGCUCAAGAUGAAGGAUCUAAUUCCAACCAUUUUUUGACAUUUACAUAGCAAAGGCAGCUUUGCAUGGAGGUGGAAAAUUCCCCAAGUCAGCCACCCUUGAGCUAAAAGAGGUUGAAUAUUCAGAAAUUCGACUAAUCUUUCAAGAUCCACUUCAAAGUCCUGUAUCUAAUACUGCCACUACGCAAUGGUCUUCCCUUCUUCCACCAUUUCUCACAGAACCCGAAGAACUCUGAAGUUAGAAUGGACCCUAGCAACCUAUAUCAACAAUCUCCUCCUACAAAUAGAGUGCCUGAAGCUCAGAA